rnacentral:rRNA from 1 species
CCUGGCUCAGGAUGAACGCUAGCGGGAGGCCUAACACAUGCAAGCCGAGCGGUAGAUUACUUUCGGGUAAUUGAGAGCGGCGUACGGGUGCGGAACACGUGUGCAACCUGCCUUUAUCAGGGGGAUAGCCUUUCGAAAGGAAGAUUAAUACCCCAUAAUAUAUUAUUCGGCAUCGGGUGAUAUUGAAAACUACGGUGGAUAGAGAUGGGCACGCGCAAGAUUAGCUAGUUGGUGAGGUAACGGCUCACCAAGGCGACGAUCUUUAGGGGGCCUGAGAGGGUGAUCCCCCACACUGGUACUGAGACACGGACCAGACUCCUACGGGAGGCAGCAGUGAGGAAUAUUGGACAAUGGGUGGAAGCCUGAUCCAGCCAUCCCGCGUGCAGGAAGACGGCCCUAUGGGUUGUAAACUGCUUUUAUCUGGGGAUAAACCUACUUACGUGUAAGUAGCUGAAGGUACCAGAAGAAUAAGCACCGGCUAACUCCGUGCCAGCGGCCGCGGUAAUACGGAGGGUGCAAGCGUUAUCCGGAUUUAUUGGGUUUAAAGGGUCCGUAGGCGGACUGAUAAGUCAGUGGUGAAAUCCGACAGCUUAACUGUCGAACUGCCAUUGAUACUGUUAGUCUUGAGUAAGGUUGAAGUGGCUGGAAUAAGUAGUGUAGCGGUGAAAUGUAUAGAUAUUACUUAGAACACCAAUUGCGAAGGCAGGUCACUAAGUCUUA